UCCUCAGUGUCUGUGGGCGGCCCAGUCCCCUAGCCCACUCUUUCACUGGCUUCCUGUGUCUGAGUUCAUUUGUUCAUCUGUUGUUCAGCCAGGGUCUGCGGGUCGGACCCGGAAGGUAGAGCCCUGUGUGAGGAAUGCUGCAACAGAUCACAACAGAACCCUUGAAAAUGAAGGUGAAAAAACUGCGUGGUCUGGAACCAAAGCCACAAUCUCUCUAAGAGACUGCAAGACCACAAAUUUUCUUCAACUUGAUAAUAUACUAGGAAAAUUACAGAGUAAUAUAACUGGGCAUCAAUAGAUUUGUUAAACAUUUGCAAUUAUGCAUAG
rnacentral:lncRNA from 1 species